rnacentral:tRNA from 1 species
GUGAUUGUAGCUCAGAUGGUAGAGCUCUGGAUUGUGGUUCCAGUCGUCAUGGGUUCGAGUCCCAUCAAUCACC